rnacentral:rRNA from 1 species
UACGUAGGGUGCGAGCGUUAAUCGGAAUUACUGGGCGUAAAGCGUGCGCAGGCGGUUCGUUAAGUCAGAUGUGAAAGCCCCGGGCUCAACCUGGGAACUGCAUUUGAAACUGGCGGGCUUGAGUGUGGCAGAGGGGGGUGGAAUUCCGCGUGUAGCAGUGAAAUGCGUAGAGAUGCGGAGGAACACCGAUGGCGAAGGCAGCUCGCUGGGACGGUACUGACGCUGAGGCGCGAAAGCGUGGGGAGCAAACAGG